UCUCUCACCAAUUCACCUUCUACCGCCCUCGAUUUCGAAAAAUCCCCAAAUCCUAAUUUUCAUUCCAUUGAUCCACAAUUUCAUCAGGAUAUUGAUUUACACGACCAGUUGCAGAUACGUGCGGAGCAUAUGAUUUUGAGUGUUCGCAGCUUCCAGGUGAUUCAAGGUUCGAUUUUUGUGACAUGAUUCAGGAAAUAUCAUACAGUGUUAUUUUAUGAUAUUCUGAUAGAGACAUCAGUUGUCAGCAAUAAUCUACGCUUUUAUAUGAAAUGUUUUGUUAUUUUAGUUUACCAUUUAUUGAAUGCAAUUUUGUAUGAAUGCACCCACGAGGGGAGGGCUUGUUGUAUUGUCAUAUUAUUCACUGUCUAAGUUAGAUUUUCUUGUAUUAUUUAUGGUGAAUUUGGUUUUCCUAUGGCUAAUUUCACCAAUUGUAUGAAUUAUCUAUGGUGGUUUCGGUUUAUGUAUGGCUUGAGAGCCCAACUGUGUAUUUCCAUGAUAUCCAAAUGUAUUGACAUAUUUCAUUCAAUUCAAUACAAGUAGGUUUCAUAGACUCAUCCCCAGUCAAUCCAAUUUGAGGCAUUCCAUUAUUGAUAACUGGUUAUUUGUCUAAAUGGCUAAUGUUGUUCUGGUUUUGAUUUAAUUAUGUUGGAUGCAAGUGAAAUUGGUGGUGCAAGGAGGGGUUUGAGACUUGGUAAGAUUAAAAAAAUUUGUGGCGGCGCAAUGAGUGCAAGGGUAGAAGGAGUUCGUAUGAUCCAGGGAUGAGGAGACAAGUUAGUGGUGGAAAAGAAAUUUGUCGGGCAAUCCAAAACCACAACAAGUUAAGAGGCGAUGGAUAAGGAGGGGGUGGAGUAGGAGGAGGCGGUGGUGCAGCAGCAGGAAGGAGAGAGGGAGGAUGAGGAAGGAGGAACGGCGGUACAAUAACAACAACAUGGGAAGGAGGGAAGAGGUGGAAGGGAGUAUGUGGGUGCGUAUGGCAGGUCAGAGAGCAUUUAUCGCUGGUGUAGCUGAUGAUAAUGGAUAUGGUUAGGCUAUUGCAAAAUAUUUAACUGUUGUAGGAGCUGAAGUUCUCCUUGGCACAUGGGUGCCUAUUCGAAUUCGAGUAUAAAGGAUAAUGAGCGGUGACCCUUAUGCAUUAGUGUGUUGGAUAGUGACGUGUACUGCAAUAAUCGCACCUCAGCUAAGCAAGCAGUGUGUGGCCAUCUUUACCCCAAAUUAUUCACUCUCUAUCAUACGUUCAAAUCCCUUGAUAUUGUUUUACAAUGUUAGUCAAAUGACUUUAACGACUAGAUACUUUGGAUUUCUAUAUAUUCAAAUUUAUCAUUUUAUUUGAA